UACGGAGGGUGCAAACGUUGCUCGGAAUCAUUGGGCGUAAAGCGCACGUAGGCGGCCUGAUAAGUCGGGUGUGAAAGCCCUGGGCUCAACUCCGGAAUUGCCUUUAAGACUGCAUCGCUCGAAUUGUGGAGAGGUAAGUGGAAUUCCGAGUGUAGAGGUGAAAUUCGUAGAUAUUCGGAAGAACACCAGUGGCGAAGGCGACUUACUGGACACAUAUUGACGCUGAGGUGCGAAAGCGUGGGGAGCAAACAGG
rnacentral:rRNA from 1 species